rnacentral:lncRNA from 1 species
UUAUUUUUGGGCUUAUUUGCAUUCUAGGGUUUAUUUGUGGUUUAUUUUAUUUCUGGGCUUAUUUGCAUUUUAGGACUUAUUUGUGGGUUCAUUAGGAUUUAUUUCUGUGUAAGGGGGGUUUAUGCAAGUUGUGUAUUUGGGCCCUAUAUAUAGGGAACUAUUUUCAUGAUUAGGGUUUAAUGAAUGAUUAAGAAUUUCUUUUCCCUACGUUCUUUCUUCUCUUCUUCUCCUCUCCUUCUCUAUUCUUCCUGCGUCUCUACAACCUCUUCUUCCUUCUCCUUCUCUUGUUCUUCCUUCUUCUCCUCUUCCCCCGCACUGGUGCUGCAUCA